CAAGCCGCUCGCAACUCUGCCCCUGGGACCGAAGUAUCGAAAAAUCUGACGGCCCCCUGCUGCCACCACAUCGGACGUCGGGCCCCUAACAACAAAACCGACCCCUCCCCUCCUACCACCAUCCAAGACAGAGCCAUCAAAAUUGACCUUGAGGAAACUCGGGGGUGGGGGCUCCCAGGUAAAGAAUACCCUAUGUGGAGCUGCCGAAGCACUGUAGGAUCCCCAGAUGUCCCGAGCUAUCAAAGGUCUAUGAGCUGGCCCUGCCUGGAUCAUCUCUGUCGCCUGAGAACAGGCCCGCUCCAUCACAAACCGUAGGGACAGCCGACGCUCACCAAACACCCGGGUGUUCCUGGC
rnacentral:lncRNA from 1 species